UGAUGGGAACUGUUCCACACAUUUCAGUCUCUGUAGGUUCUUCAUGGCUCUGAUUUGUGUGUGGUAAGAACAGAAAAUCUGUUGGGCUCUUUUGGACAAGCAGCCACCUAUAAAUGCAGGCAGCAGAACUGGAUGGCCCAAGUGGGCCCUCUGAGGCCGAUUUUCCAAUGUAAUAGAGUUUUGUGGAUUUCCAGAUAAAGAACCAUUUCAAGUGGCAGUCAAGACUAGGCAGCAAGUGCUGGGGAGCACAGAACAGAUGGAAGCUACGCUAUGCUUUGCAAGGCAGUGAAGUUUGUGGAUGGAGCAGGUAGGGAUUGAUGGAUUCUGGCAAGUCUCUGCCAACAUGGUUUCAGGACCCCCUGCUUCAUCCACUACCCAAAAAGGAUGGUGCUUUGGGCCUGAAAGUAGAGGAGAAUAUUGUCCAUGGGACUUCAGCCUUAUUUGCUUCAGAAGUUGAAAGGCUCCAGGGCUGCCCCCAGGAAAUGCCACUUCUUACCUUCUACUUGUUUUUGAUUAUGAAAAAAUAGAGGAAUUCUUUUGUUGCAAAGAACUCAGAAAGCUCACAAGAGGCAAGAAUAUUUUUGAUGCUAUGGAUUCCCAUUUGAAA